UACAGAGGGUGCAAGCGUUAAUCGGAAUUACUGGGCGUAAAGCGCGCGUAGGUGGUUAGUUAAGUUGGAUGUGAAAUCCCCGGGCUCAACCUGGGAACUGCAUUCAAACUGACUGACUAGAGUAUGGUAGAGGGUGGUGGAAUUUCCUGUGUAGCGGUGAAAUGCGUAGAUAUAGGAAGGAACACCAGUGGCGAAGGCGACCACCUGGACUGAUACUGACACUGAGGUGCGAAAGCGUGGGGAGCAAAACGGAUUAGAUACC
rnacentral:rRNA from 1 species